UUUUUUUAACUUUAUUAUUAUUUUUUUUUUGUUCUAUGUCCCUUUAGGGGCUCCGUAGGAUUGAGGGUUAAAAUCUCAAAAAAAAAAAAAAAAAAAUGUAAUGCUUUCUGUAUGGAAACUCGCAAACGAUUUCUACAAAUCAGCAACUUCAUUUAAAUAAUCUUAAUCAUCUGUGAAAAAAUAUAUAGUAUUUUUAGACUUUUUUUAAAACAAAAUUUAUUUUGAAUUUUUUCUCCUUUUUUUUGGAAACCAGAAGCUUAAAAAUGUCAACUUCGGAGCAGUCUGUGAAAAUAUUGAGAUUUUUUUUUUGUUCUUAAAUCAAUUAAACUGUGCAUCUAUAUUCUAUAAAUGUUUAAUUUUUUUUUAAUGGAGUUAUGGAAAUACAUUCACUUUUCAGUGAUAUUCCAGGAUCUGUAAAUGAUGGACUUUCAUAAGUUUUAUAUUUUAUCAAAGAAGUGAAGAAGUUUUGUCCACAUUUUCCGUUUUCCUGAUCACUGUUUCUUUGCGUCUCAGGUUGGCAGCUGGCCUUGGUAAUUGUGGCCGUCGUUCUGGGAGUGCUGACCCUCAGCUUCCUCGUGGCUCUCAUUGUUAUGUCAGUAAAGUCGCCAAAGAAAAAAUCCAACAAGAAGAGUAGAGAAGCAGAAGAUGUGAAGCCUUAUGUCAGCCAUUUUUCAACCAAGGCACCACUUGGUGGAAACAGCGUAAAGAAUGAUUUCCCAUCUCAGACAAAAGCGUCCGCUGGGGUUCCGCGGAUCCCGCGGGCCACAACCACCCUGGACAACAGGAGCAACAUGGAGAUGAUGCCGAGCAACAGCCGGCAAAACCUGAUCUCUUCAAACUCGUGGCUAAACGAGGACCAGGACGGCGGGUACUCAUACUCCCGGGCCAACAACUCCUACGCUCAGAAUCGACCUCAGAGCAAUCUCUACGGCCAGAACCGAGCUCAGUACAACCCGUACGCUCAGAGCCAAGGCAACUCCAACCCUUACUACAAAGACUGAGAUGCAAGAAGGUUGAAAAAAAAAGCAGAAUCACAACAGCUGCUUGUAAAUAUAACAUGUAAUGAAUAAAAAGGAGCACUAUUGUAUCACCUUCCAUCACCACUUUUCGCUUAAAGACCCACUCCCAUCGUCUUUUGAUAAAAGAAGUGAAGUAAGACCGCCCAUCAUCCAUCUGUUUACAUGCUUUCCCACUAGCUUACUGCCCCAACCUAGCAUUAGCAGUGCAACAAAAAUAUAAGGGUAUCCAGCUGUGCAGUUUGGAACCAGAUCCCAGCUCAAGGUAAAGGAAUAAGUCCAUGGAUCUGGGAGCUUGUGGCCUGCCGACAUCACCGCUACAAGCUAAUUCAAACGACAUCUCUUCGUCUGCUCCUGAUUCACAACGAUUUGAAUACAAAAAUAUUCAGAAAUGCAAUUAUAAGCACAAGAACAUGUUAAAAACAACAAAAAAAACCCACAAUUUUAUCAGAAAAUGAAAAUCGCCUUUUUGGUGUUUUUUACGUGUUCUUGUAGCAUUUUUUUCAUAGUAGAUGACCUAAAAAAAUAAUUUAUGAAUAAAACUGCAUUUCUGAGUGUUUCAUAAUUCAGAUCACGUUGUAUCAGAAAACUGGAUGCUUGAAAAGCAAAGAAUAAUGACGCAGCUAUAGAAGUCUCUCUUCUCCAUUCCGCGCACCAUUCCGCGCACCGUUUCGCGCACCAUUCCGCUGCAUCCGCACGUACACGAUGAGAUCCACGGAGGUCUGCGUUUUCCUCGUCCUAGCUGGCUCAAAAAUGUAUUGCUCGUCAGUAUUUUCGUGUUGCUAAUGUUAGCUUGAGGCUAUAAACUGGAGGGGGAGGGGUUAAUCUGUGUCAACAGUCCAGCCAAUAAUCCAGAACUGUAUUUCUAAUGACCGAUCUUAUGCUUUAGGUUCAAAUUUCAGACUAAUUUAUUUCAAAUCAUAACUGUUUAUUAAGCAAAUUAUAUGUCAAUAAACCUGGAGGCUGGACCUAAAUUUAAACCAAGCCUUUGACUCAUUCUACUCGCAAUUUCCUUAAAAGGUAUUUCCAAUUUGGAAGGGCCAUGUGCUUUGUAUUUCAUUUUUUAUUCUUAAAAAUGUAUUCAGCCUUUCUAACAUCAACAUUCAGGUAUGUUUUUUUCACUGAAAUGUAGGUGGUACUCAGUUUUUUAUGACUUAAAGUGCAUUUAAUGUUUAUUUUUUUAAUUUUUCCAGUAUCUUAUUGAUUCUUUUAAAAAUAAACCAAACAUAUUUGGUAAGUUUGUUUCUGUCACCUCUUUGUUUUAAAUGUAGCACAAAAUGUUGAGGCAAUUAUUUCUUUGUUGUCUUGAUAAUAAAUUAUAUAUGAUUAGAGAGCCUGUCUGUUUGUCUUUUGAGGUAUAAAAUUAUAUAUAUAUAUAUAUAUAUAUAUAUAUAUAUAUAUAUAUAUAUAUAUAUUUUAAAUAUAUAAUAAUAUAAAAUAAGUGCACAUUAUUUUUACUCUACCAACACCGACCGACUUCUUUUAAAGUUUCU
ensembl:lncRNA